CUCUCUGUGAGCUCAGAGAAGGGUUUCCAUUACACUGACCAGCUCUGAUGCCUGGAAUGGAUUGUGGAAAUAACUUGGCUCAAAGAAAGGAGGUAGACAAUAGGCAAAGCAAACUGGUUUUGCCACCUUUUUCUUCUAAUCAAAAGAGAAAGGAAAUAAUUGGUUUGGAAAUUGGCACUGUUCAGCAGGCCAGCACUUCCACCUUCUGUAGGUGACUGAUGACUAUGUGGGAGUGCACAAAGUGUGACACGGGUCCUCCCUCCUGCUAAAUGGAGAGGUCUGCAGAGCUGAGCCUCCCCCUGUUUCCAACCAAACCUGUCCAGUGAGGCUUUUGCAGAAACGUAAGCAAAUCCAUCCACUUGUUUUUCUGCUCAGUACUUUCAAAGGAACACAGUGGUAUCAGUAUUUUGAAAGGAACAUUAGGAAGAGUGAAAGAGGCCACACUGUACCAGAAUCUGACCUCAUGCUAGUGACUACAAGAAGUUUCCUUCUCAUGGUCACACAAGAGUGACACACACCUGGUGUGACCACCCACUCUCCCCACUUGGUGUCUCUGAAGCCAAGGCAGGUGUGCUGAAAUGCCCAGAGGAGCACGUGGUCUGCAGCAGGUUCUUAUGCCCUGAGAAGGCUGGAGAGGCACAAGAAAGUGGGAAGAGACACACAGGACAGCUGACCCACACUGGCCAAAGGGAUAUUCCAGACCAUGAGACAUCAUGCUUAAUAUGUAAACUGGAGGUCCCUACUGGAUGGAAGCUACUGUGAUCAGUAAGGAAAUGCAGGGUUUUUUCUCUCUAGCAAAAUACAGUCAGACUCCUUGCAGUCCACAGGUGUACCUGUCUCCUCAUGAGGACAGGGUAGAGGCUACACCAAACACUGAAAACAUUUGUCUCCUGCUGAAGCAGUACUUAAGAUCAGUACUUAAGGGGCCUGGACUUCCUGGCCAGACCUGGAUUCAGCGCAGCUUUUGCAGUGGUUUUGGUUGUGCCACUGUAGCACGGUACUCCAGAUCUCAGGCAUGAGCCCAGCCUUGCUACAAGGACAGAAACAACCUGGUGGAACACUAUCUCCCCAGCAGGCUGGGGAUCUCAGCCUAGUAUGUGUUUCCCCAGCAGUAUCUGGCAGCCCCAGCCUGUGAUCCCUGCCAGCUCUCAGCUCCCCCUGCCCUGGAGAUGAUGAUGCAGGGGUUUUAUGCAGUGGUAAAUAUGGGGUAUCUCCAGACCUUGCUCUCUCCAUCCCCUGGAACCUGCUUUCAAUGAGGACUUCUGCAGUCUCUGGGAAGACGCUGCCUGCUCCUACCUUCAUCUCCCAAGUGUCCUCCAAAGAUGACCACUGGAUUAACUGCUGGCACCUUGAGCUAGCUGCUGAGGAGUGGCAGCCUCAUUAGGGAGGGGUCAUUUAUACCCAGCAGAUGUGCUGCUGUUUGCAGCAGUUUUAACAUGCUGGUGUUAUCCUGUCAGUGAGGAAAGAGAAGCUUUUUGCUACAGCUACAGCUGUGGAAGAUACGAGUACUGCAUCUGCUGUUCCAUCUUUAGGCUGAUAUUUUCUGUACAAAAAAGCUUAUGGAAAGAAGAGAUUCACAUUAGAUCUAUGGACAAAAAUCAAGAUAUUUAGCAAUCCCUCUAUCCUCAACUAAUCCUUAAUUCAGGUCUAGGAGCCCUUUGACAGCUGUAAUGGUGUGCUCUGAAGUGCCAAGGAAAGAAAGGAGAAAGUUCUUAUACUGGAACAUGGCUGGAAUUAGUUUUGUAAAAUCUUGACUCUCUAGUAUUUAUCCUUUUGGAGCAAUAAACCUUGAAAGAGAAUGCAGAAUUUGAAAAAGUGAAACAAAGCCCCAAGGACACGAGCAGGCAGUCUGACAAAGCGGUGGGAUUGCUGCUGCAGGAGUCCCUUUGCCUCCUCAAACGCUGUUCACAGAGCCCUCCUCUCCGGGCAUGCUGCGCCUUCUCCAGCAUCGCCUGCUCCCGUUUCUACAUCGCCUCUGCUCUCUCCAUGUUGUGUUUCCAUGGAGCCCAAGCUCUGCACCGAGCAGGACAGGAGCCCCAGGGAUGCCCUCCAGCCUCAAGGCAAGCACUCUGCACUGGAGGCACCUCAGGCACCCCAGGUACCUCCCUGGCCCUGGACACAGCUCCAGCGAGUCCCUUGUCUCCCGUGCUCCAGCUGCCUGCCUGGAAAUCAUCCCUAAGUGGAAAGGAGGCUGAGAAGGACAGAGAAUUGGGCUGAGGUCCAGGAUACCCAUUUGUGGAGCUGUUGCCACAUUAACCUCCCUCCAAAGGCAGGAGUUUGCUUCCUUUUGCUUUACCCAAAAUAAUUGUGAGGCUCUUAAAAUGCAUCCUGCAUGUACUAAACAGGGAAGCCCACAGAGUACACCUGAAAGAUUGCAUGAGAAAAUAGGAUAUCUGAGGAGGUGCUAACAGUUUUAUUGGGUCUUAAUGACAGGGGGAAAAUUUUAAAGCUGCUGGAAGACAAAGAUUUCUUUUUCCCCAAGUGUAACAACAUGCUCCUCCCAGACAGUAUGGAGGUGUGCAGCCCUUGG